UUGCUUUGGCAGCACACAUAUGAAAAUUAUGGCAAUUCAGUGAAGAUUAGCACAGUCCCUGCACAAGGAUGACACACAAAUUCAUAAAAUAUUCCAUAGAAAA